CUCCAAUAGCGUAUAUUAAAGUUGUUGCGGUUAAAAAGCUCGUAGUUGGAUAUCACAAGCUUUUGCCAGAAACAUGAAAGUGUUUCUAGCUUGAAGGGAAGAUAGAAGGACGCCGUCAGCUCUAAUCUUAAUUGUUUAUAGUUGAUAAACGGUAUGUCUAAUAAGCUACUUUGAAGAAAUCAAUGUGCUUAAGACAAGCGAUUGCUUGAAUAUUUGUGCAUGGGAUAGCGAAAGAAGAUCAUUAUUGAAUCUGUUGGUUGAUACAAUAAGGAUAAUGAUUAAUAGAGAUUGACGGGGGCACUUGUAUUUGGAAGCGAGAGGUGAAAUUCUAUGACCUUUCAAAGACAGGCUAACGCGAAAGCAUUUGCCAAGAAUGUUUUCACUAAUCAAGAACGAAAGUUAGAGGCUCGAAGGCGAUUAGAUACCGCCCUAGUUCUAACCAUAAACAAUGCCAACUAACAAUCUUGUAUAGUUUAAGUUCAAACUAACAAGGAAGCUUGCGGAAAACCAAAGUAUUUGGGUUCCGGGGGUAGUAUGGUUGCAAAGCUGAAA
rnacentral:rRNA from 1 species